rnacentral:rRNA from 1 species
GACGAACCGUGCAAACGUUGUUCGGAAUCACUGGGCUUAAAGGGCGCGUAGGCGGGCCAGCCAGUCUGUGGUGAAAGCCUCCAGCUUAACUGGAGAAGUGCCGUGGAUACUGCUGGCCUCGAGGAGGAUAGGGGCAUCUGGAACGGUCGGUGGAGCGGUGAAAUGCGUUGAUAUCGACCGGAACUCCGGUGGCGAAGGCGGGUCUCUGGGCAGUAACUGACGCUGAGGAGCGAAAGCGUGGGGAGCGAACAGG